rnacentral:misc_RNA from 1 species
UAGAUACCCCACUAUGCCUGGUCUUAAACCUUGACCCAUUACACCCACCCAUCCGCCAGAAUACUACGAGCCAACAGCUUAAAACUCAAGAGACUUGGCGGUGCUCUACACCCACCUAGAGGAGCCUGUUCUAUAAUCGAUAACCCCCGAUAAACCUCACCGUUUCUUGCCUGUCCGCCUAUAUACCGCCGUCGUCAACCAACCCUUUGAAGGGGACACAGUAGGUCUAAUGAUUUAUCAUCAAUACGUCAGGUCAAGGUGUAGCUAAUGAAACGGAAAGAAAUGGGCUACAUUUUCUAAUCCAGAAUACACGAAAAAUUAUUUGAAACCCGAUUAGAAGGAGGAUUUAGCAGUAAAAAGAAACCAACAAGUUCUUUUGAAGCCGGCCCUAGAGCGCGUACAUACCGCCCGUCACCCUCUUCAACUAUUAAACUUCUAUUUUAUAAGCCAUCAUAACAAACUAGAGGAGGCAAGUCGUAACAUGGUAAGCCCACCGGAAGGUGUGCUUGGAAAAAUGUACCUUUAACUAAAAAGUUUACACCUAUUAAUUUAGGACAUUUUUUUAUCCGCCCUCUAGCCUGAACACUACACCCCCACUAACUAACCUGACCCGUUUAAUUUGAACAAAACAUUUUCAACCUUGAGUAUUUGAGACAGAAAGAGAACUCAGAGCAACACCAAUAGUACCGCAAGGGAAAGAUGAAAUAAAAAUGAAAUAACCUAAAAUACACCAAAGCAAAGAUUAAACCUUGUACCUUUUGCAUCAUGAUCAAACUAGACAAUUUGAGCAAAGCGAUCUUUAGUUCACAACCCCGAACCUGGGUGAGCUACUCCAAGACAACUAAUGAGUUAACCCGUCUCUGUGGCAAAAGAGUGGGACGAUCUUAGAGUAGAGGUGACAUGCCUAUCGAACCCAGUGAUAGCUGGUUACUCAGGAAAAGAAUAUUAGUUCUCCCUUAAGAACCUUUUAGCACUAACAAGCAAACAAAUUCUUAAGACUUAUUCAAUAAGGGUACAGCCUUACUGAAAAAGGACACAACCUCGACUUUAGGUUAAUGACCCCCCCCCCAAAAAAAACAGACUAAGUCGGCUUAAAAGCAGCCACCUUAAAAAAGCGUCAAAGCUUAAUCUAUGGACCUUAAAAUCCCCCAACCCUAUCACAACCCAACAAUACUACUGAGUUAUCCUAUACUUUUAUAGGAGUAUUUAUGUCUGAACUAGUAACACAGAAAAACUUUCUCCUACUUGUUAGUGUAAAUCAAAUCGAAUACCUCAUUGAUAAUUAUUCAGCCAGAAUUUAAUGUAACAACCCCUACCUCGAAAACCCUACUAAUCAAACUGUUAAUCUCACACAAGGAUAAGAAGGAAAGAUUUAAAAACCCGGAAGGAACUCGGCAUACACUAGUCCCGCCUGUUUACCAAAAACAUCACCUUUUGACUUAUAUAAAAGGUAACGCCUGCCCAGUGACACCUGUUCAACGGCCGCGGUAUUUUGACCGUGCGAAGGUAGCGUAAUCACUUGUCUUCUAAAUAAAGACCAGUAUGAACGGCGCCACGAGAACUAAACUGUCUCCCCCCUUUAAUCAGUGAAACUGAUCUCCCCGUGCAGAAGCGGGGAUAAACACAUAAGACGAGAAGACCCUGUGGAACUUUAAAUUUAUUGUCACUUAAUACCCUCUUAACCUUAACAAAAACACAAAACUUGAUUUAAAUUUUCAGCUGGGGCGUCUGUGGAGAAAAAAUCACCCUCCACGAAGAAUUAAAUCUGAGAACUACUACUCUAAGAAUUAAUACCCUUAACUCUACUUGACCCAAUUUUAUUGAUCAACGGACCAAGUUACCCCAGGGAUAACAGCGCAAUCCACUUCUAGAGUCCAUAUCGACAAGUGGGCUUACGACCUCGAUGUUGGAUCAGGGCAUCCUGGUGGUGCAGCCAUACUAAAGGUCGUUGUCACCGAUAAG